AUGGAGUUCCUGCUGAACCACUCAAUAGCUUAAAAUACAACCAGCCCCUCUCCCUCCUGGGCCCGCUGCCGGGGAGGGCUGAAACCCUAGCCUCUCCCCGGGCUGGGGCUCUGCAGCCAGGCCAGGAGUCGUGGUGCACCAACUGGCUAUGAGUGGGCAGCAAGCAUGGAGAGGGGCCACAGCGAAGAGUGAUCCCAAGCCACAAGGAGAGGAGCUGCCUGAACCAGAGGAAGACUCUGGCAAACCAGGAAGCUUAAGGAAGCCAGACCUAAACCUGGAGGACAAACUGACUAGAGGUGUUCGUCGGACAUUGUCCAUUAUGUCCACCCGACUCCACUCAAGCCAGCAGGCAGAUGGAAAACCGCUCGGCUACCGUGUCUGCCUGUGAGCUGUCUUCACGCUCCUGCCACGAAGGCAGUGAACUUCUGGAACUCAGGAGGCCCAGGAUCAGCAGGUGACAGCUCCCACAGAAGAUUCAGCAGCCAUUUUAGGGGCCAAGGUAAUGAGUGGUUGAAGAUGUGGCUGUGGUCAAAGCCACUGGGCUUGUGGACAUAAAGCCAAAGACAAGGAGUGGAUCCCUGUCACCAAGCUGGGCUGCCUGGACAUGAUCAAGUCCUUGGAGGAGAUCUACCUGUUCUCCCUGCCCAUUAUGGAAUCUGAUAUUAUUGACUUUUUCCUGGAUUCAUCUAAAGGAUGAGGUUCUGAAGGUCCUGCCAGUGCAGCUGGACAA
rnacentral:lncRNA from 1 species